UUAUCCUCUAAAUACAAUAUUUUUCCUCAAACGGACUCUUACCAAUCCAGAUUGAGAAAACCCUCAGCGAUUCAGAGGGAUGACAGCGCCAAAUAUAUGGGGGAUGGGGCAAGCUGCUGCAACUGUGCCCCAUCUCAGCCCCUUUUGUUGCUUAGAUUUCUCAGCCAAGAAAUCCACCAAUUUCAGCUUUGUUUUUGGUUGGGGCUACACUGCUAUUCACUAUUACCGCUGCAACAAGAACAAGAUGUCUUCUUUCUUCCCAAAUAAUAACCGCAAG
rnacentral:misc_RNA from 1 species